rnacentral:rRNA from 1 species
CCUACGGGUGGCAGCAGUGAGGAAUAUUGGUCAAUGGACGCGAGUCUGAACCAGCCAAGUAGCGUGAAGGAUGACUGCUCUAUGGGUUGUAAACUUCUUUUAUAUGUGAAUAAACUGUUCUACGCGUGGGAUUUUGUAUGUAUCAUACGAAUAAGGAUCGGCUAACUCCGUGCCAGCAGCCGCGGUAAUACGGAGGAUCCGAGCGUUAUCCGGAUUUAUUGGGUUUAAAGGGUGCGUAGGUGGAUUGUUAAGUUAGUUGUGAAAGUUUGCGGCUCAACUGUAGAAUUGCAGUUGAUACUGGCAGGCUAGAGUACAGUAGAGGUAGGCGGAAUGCGUGGUGUAGCGGUGAAAUGCUUAGAGAUCACGAAGAACUCCGAUUGCGAAGGCAGCUCACUGGACUACAACUGACACUGAGGCACGAAAGUGUGGGGAGCAAACAGGAUUAGAUACCCUUGUAGUC